GAUGAACGCUGGCUACAGGCUUAACACAUGCAAGUCGAGGGGAAACGACGGGGAAGCUUGCUUCCCCGGGCGUCGACCGGCGCACGGGUGAGUAACGCGUAUCCAACCUGCCUCUGACUGAGGGAUAACCCGUCGAAAGUCGGCCUAAUACCUCAUGGCAUCGUCUGCGGGCAUCCAACGACGAUUAAAGAUUUCAUCGGUCAGGGAUGGGGAUGCGUCUGAUUAGCUUGUUGGCGGGGUAACGGCCCACCAAGGCUACGAUCAGUAGGGGUUCUGAGAGGAAGGUCCCCCACAUUGGAACUGAGACACGGUCCAAACUCCUACGGGAGGCAGCAGUGAGGAAUAUUGGUCAAUGGGCGAGAGCCUGAACCAGCCAAGUAGCGUGCAGGAAGACGGCCCUAUGGGUUGUAAACUGCUUUUAUGCGGGGAUAAAGUGAGGGACGUGUCCUUCUUUGCAGGUACCGCAUGAAUAAGGACCGGCUAAUUCCGUGCCAGCAGCCGCGGUAAUACGGAAGGUCCGGGCGUUAUCCGGAUUUAUUGGGUUUAAAGGGAGCGUAGGCCGUGGAUUAAGCGUGUUGUGAAAUGCAGGUGCUCAACGUCUGCACUGCAGCGCGAACUGGUCCACUUGAGUGUGCGCAACGCAGGCGGAAUUCGUCGUGUAGCGGUGAAAUGCUUAGAUAUGACGAAGAACUCCGAUUGCGAAGGCAGCUUGCGGGAGCACAACUGACGCUGAAGCUCGAAAGUGCGGGUAUCGAACAGG
rnacentral:rRNA from 1 species